CCUANGGGUGGCUGCAGUCGAGAAUCUUUUGCAAUGCCCGAAAGGGUGACAAUGCGACGCCGCGUGUGCGAUGAAGGCCUUCGGGUCGUAAAGCACUGUCGGCUGGGAGGAAUCUCUGGAGUCAUAACAUGAUUGCAGGGUGACAGUACCAGCAGAGGAAGCCACGGCUAACUCCGUGCCAGCAGCCGCGGUAAUACGGAGGUGGCAGGCGUUACUCGGAUUGAUUGGGUGUAAAGGGUGCGUAGGUGGUGGUUUAAGUCGAAUGUGAAAUCCCAUGGCUCAACCAUGGAACUGCAUUUGAUACUGAUCCGCUUGAGCGAUAGAGAGGUAAAUGGAAUUCCCGGUGUAACAGUGAAAUGUGUAGAUAUCGGGAGGAACACCAGUGGCGAAGGCGAUUUACUGGCUAUCCGCUGACACUGAAGCACGAGAGCAAGGGGAGCAAACAGGAUUAGAUACCCCUNUANUC
rnacentral:rRNA from 1 species